rnacentral:pre_miRNA from 1 species
UAACGGAACCCAUAAUGCAGCUGUAAUUUCAGAGGUCCAGCUGGUUAUGGGGUCCGUUUCCA